ACGACUUUACCUUUACAAUUGAGAUUUUUGGCUUCUUUGGACAGACUGAGCUCUCAGCUUCUCCAGGUUAUUAGAAGCAAAGGUGGAGUCCUCCGUGAAAAAACUAAAGACACUAUUAAAGUUAUGGAUCAGAGUCUGGACAUAGACAUCAGAAGAGAGUGCCUGCUGAAGUGCCUCAUCAUGUACCUUGGUGAAGAUGCAAGCUGUCUGAUCAAAGAAUACCAGGCUGACCAGAGGGAGGAAGCGGAG